rnacentral:rRNA from 1 species
UAAAGAUCCUAAAGAAGCUGCCAGAUGGAUAGCUUGGUUUGGGUUGCGAGGAAGGACGUGGCAAGCUGCGAUAAGCUUUGGGGAGCUGCAUGCAAGCUUUGAUCCGAAGAUUUCCGAAUUUGAAACAUUUCACAAGAAAUUCUUCGUAAGAAGAAAGUAUACGCGGUAAAUUGAAACAUCUUAGUAGCCGCAGGAAAAGAAAGCAAUAGCGAUGCCCUUAGUAACAGCGAGUGAAAAGGGCGCAAGGCAAGCCGAAUUCUUUUCUGAAAAGAAGAGAAGAUGUGGUGCUGCUUAUCCUAAGCUCACGAGUCAAACUUCCCUGGAACGGGAGGCCAUAGAGCAUGAUAGCUGCGUAGAUUAAGUGGGUAUGGAUUGCAGUAAAGAGAGUAGUGUCUUCUGAAUAGAAGGCAUGAAUACGGCAGAAUUAACUGCCAACCUUAAACAUGAGCCCAAGUCCGAUAGCGAAAUAGUACCGUGAGGGAAAGCUGAAAAGUAUCUCUGGCGAGAGGUUAAAAGACUUGAAAUCUGGCAGCGAUAAUUGGUUACGGCGUUAGUCGUAACGUACGUUUCGAAGAACGGGCCAGGGAGUUUAUUUUUGUGGCGAGGUUAACCAACUUUGUUGGGCAGCCGGAGCGAAAGCGAGUCUGAAAAGGCGUGAGUCACAGGGAUAAGACCCGAAGCCAGAUGAUCUAUUCCUGGGCAAGGUGAAGUCUCCCUAACGGGGGAUGGAAGCCUGAACAAACUCUGCGUGCAUACGUGUUGAUGACCUGGGAAUAGGGGUGAAAAGCCAAUCUAAUCUGGCGAUAGCUGGUUCCUGUUGAAAUAUGCCAUAGUAUAGUCUUGCGUUAGAUGCCUACGGGGUACAGUACGGAUUGAACUUGCAGAGCGUUUUUGCUACGGAGUUUUUUCCAACUCAGAAUCUGUAGGUUUCAUAGCAGGAAGCAGGGGCGCGGGGUAAGCUCGUGCUCCGAGACCGGAACAACGGAGCCUGAGGUUAAGGUCCUUAAAUAUCUGUUAAGUGCAAAUCAAGUUAGUCUGGAAUCUGAGACAGCAGGGAUGUAGGCUCAGAAGCAGCCACCAUUUAAAGAAAGCGUAACAGCUCACCUGUCGAGAUUUUAGGCGACGUAAAUGGACGGGGCUAAACAGAUUACCGAUACCUCAGUCAUGCUCGGUAGAGCAUUGAAGUAAACAGGCGUUCUGUCUGCGUAGAAGUUUUUUCGUAAGAAAGAAUGGAGCGGGCAGGAAUGAGAAUCCUGGCGUUAGUAGGAUCAGACUUUUCUGAGAGAGAAAAGCGCCGCAAGAGCACGGUUUCCUUGGCAAUGUAGAUCAGCCAAGGGUUAGUCAGUAUCUAAGCCAUGCCUUAACUGAGCAUGGCGACGAACAGAUGGUUAAUACUCCAUCACCAUACUGCUGUGUAUCUGCUGCAUACGCCUUGCGAUAAGUAUAAUCUCGCAAGAGAUUUGUGCAUAUAAGCAUAUGGAUUGUAAUGAGAUGAAGCAUGCCAAAAUGCAUGACGAAGGUUUGCUGAAUCGCAGGGCCAGUGAAAAUUGCAUCAGAAUGCAGUGUGCCUGUACCUAGAAUCGACACUGGUGCUCUGGCUUAGUAGGCUAAGGCGUGAAAGGACAAACCAGUUUAGGGAACUCGGCAAUUUAGCCCUGUAUCUUAGGUAUAAGGGGUGCCUAUAUUCGUGUUUUGUCGAAAGGUGGAAUGCGAAAGUAGGUUUCAAUAACAAGGACUGCCGGACUGUUUACCAAAAACGUAGCCAAGUGCUGUGCCGAAAGGCAAUGUAUACUUGGUGAAACCUGCCCAGUCGUGGUGUUUCAAACUUCAUUCCAAUGAGGCUAAGACCCAUGAAACGGCGGGCUUAACUGUGAGGCUCUUAAGGUAGCGUAAUACCUUGUCGUCUGAAUGGCGACUCGCACGAAUGGUGUAACUAGGUAGUCACUGUCCCAAACUGGGGCCUUCUGAAUCCAUUGUCUGGUGAAAAGACCAGAAACUUCUUAUGGGAAGCGGAGACCUUGUGGAACUUUACUGCAACUUGUCAUUGUAAACUAAAAUUAGGUGCAUAGUGUAGGUAGGAGAAUACGCGUAGUUUUGGCGAGGCGGCUCAACAAUGUAACACUACCUAUCUGUUUUUAGCUUACUCAUCUCGCAAGAGAAACAGUGGCAUGCGGGCAGUUCGGCUGGGGCGGCCCCCUCCCGAAAAGAUAUCGGGAGGGCUCAAAGACGAGCUCAUCCCCUUCGGAAAUGGGGAGUGGAGCGCAAAGGCAAAAGCUCGUCUGACUGUAUUCCUAACAACACGGAAUGCAGAUGUGAAAGCAGGACUUAGCGAACCAACAAGCAGCUUUAAUGGCCGCUGUUGAUGUCAGAAAAGUUACCCCAAGGAUAACAGGCUUGUCGCACCCGAUAGUCCAUAUUGACGGUGCGGUUUGGUACAUCGCCGUCGGCUCUUCCUAUCCCGGCUGUGCAUAAGCAGCCAAGGGUGUCGGAGUUCACGCAUUAAAAGGGAUCGUUAGCUGGGUUAAGAACGUCGUGAGACAGUUUGUAUGAUAUCUAUAAGAAGUGUCUUUGUGUGAGUGGAAUGAUUCGCUAGUACGAGAGGAACGCGAAUUAGCAGCCUCUAGUGAGCUGUUCUCAAGUGGGAGGCAGCACAGCCACGCUGUAUGCUGAUAAGAGCUGAACGCAUCUAAGCUCGAAGCAGCCCGCAAAAAUACACAAAAAAGGCCGUCAAAAAACAUGACGUUGAUAGAGUUGGGGUGUAAGGUCCGAGGCAACGAGGAUUUCAGCCCGCAACUACUAAAAGCCUUUUCAGGAUAUUUG